CCCAUUUGACUUCUAUUUGUGUGAAAUGGCCUUCCCCCGGGUCAAGCCAGCACCUGAUGAAACUUCCUUCAGUGAGGCCUUGCUGAAGAGGAAUCAGGAUCUGGCUCCUAAUUCUGCUGAACAGGCAUCUAUCCUUUCUCUGGGUGACAAAAAUAAACAAUGUGAUUGAUAAUCUGAUUGUGGCUCCAGGGACAUUUGAAGUGCAAAUUGAAGAAAUUCGACAGGUGGGAUCCUAUAAAAAGGGGACAAUGACUACAGGACACAAUGUGGCUGACCUGGUGGUGAUACUUAAGAUCCUGCCAACAUUGGAAGCUGUUGCUGCCCUGGGGAACAAAGUUGUGGAAAGCCUAAGAGCACAGGAUCCUUCUGAAGUUUUAACCAUGCUGACCAAUGAAACUGGCUUUGAAAUCAGUUCUUCUGAUGCUACAGUGAAGAUUCUCAUUACAACAGUGCCACCCAAUCUUCGAAAACUGGACCCAGAACUCCAUUUGGAUAUCAAGGUAUUGCAGAGUGCCUCAGCAGCCAUCCGACAUGCCCGCUGGUUCGAGGAAAAUGCUUCUCAGUCCACAGUUAAAGUUCUCAUCAGACUGCUGAAGGACUUGAGGAUUCGUUUUCCUGGCUUUGAGCCCCUCACACCCUGGAUCCUUGACCUACUAGGCCAUUAUGCUGUGAUGAACAACCCCACCAGACAGCCUUUGGCCCUAAACGUUGCAUACAGACGCUGCUUGCAGAUUCUGGCUGCAGGACUGUUCCUGCCAGGUUCAGUGGGUAUCACUGACCCCUGUGAGAGUGGCAGCUUCAGAGUACACACAGUCAUGACUCUAUAACAGCAGGACAUGGUCUGUUAUACAGCUCAGACUCUCGUCCGAAUCCUCUCACAUGGUGGCUUUAGGAAGAUCCUUGGCCAGGAGGGUGAUGCCAGUUAUCUUGCUUCUGAAAUAUCUACCUGGGAUGGAGUGAUAGUAACACCUUCAGAAAAGGCUUAUGAGAAGCCACCAGAGAAGAAGGAAGGAUAGGAAGAAGAGGAGAAUACAGAAGAACCACUUCAAGGAGAGGAAGAAGAAAGCAUGGAAACUCAGGAGUGAUGUUCC